CAGGUGGAUGUCUUCUUCCAGUAUCUUUCCUGCUAAGCCUGUUAACUUGAAUAUUACGCUGAUGGUUGAAGAUGGAAUCCACUGAGGAAGGAAGGCCUAGGUCUUCAGCACCGUGUCUACCAGCCCAGAAGCAACAGUGUGAAAGCCUCUGUAACAUCUGCUGCAGACCCCUAAAAGUCAAGGGGGAUUGGAUUUGGACAUCCUCAGUAGGAAUGGCUAAAUGCUGAUGGGAUCAUAAACAGAUGAUGCUAGAUAGUUGAUAAAUCCUAUAGCUCAACUUGAUUCCUAGAUACAAGCUGGAUUCAUUUGAUACCACAGAAAUGAAACUUCAGGAGACUAGGUUGGAGUCUCACUUCUUUCCCAGCCUGGAACUCUUGGGAGCUCAUGAAGGUAGAUGAUUCUUCAAAUUAAAGACGGACACUGAUUUUUCUCACCAGAAAUGGUUUAUAGAAUCAACUUUCAAAAAUGUAAGAGGCAGCAAAAAAACAGAGUAAAAUAUUUUCUUCUAUUAUUCUUUGAUUGUUUGCUAGAUUGUAAACUCCAUGAAAGCAGGAUAACUUGCUUAUCUGUAAUGCCUGGCCCAGAAUAGAUACUCAAAAAAUAUUUGAAGUUAAUUAAAAUUUCCAUAGAAUUUUGUAUUUUUUAAUCCCUGGAAAAUAACAACCAUUUUAAUGGCAUUUCAGCAAGACAUUUACAUGGAAUAACUGGGACUUAAAUUUUGACUCUGAUGUAUAAACUAUCUGGAUACCAAUGAGUCUACUUAAUAUCUGAUUAUGAUGCUUGAUCCUUUAAGAGGCAAUGAAGAAUGGCUGCCAAAACAGACUGUGUAUGUGAGGAAUAGAUAUAUAAAAGCUUACUAAUAUUUAGUAGGAUAUCUUUUAUUAUGUACAUUUCAUUGGAAAUUUUUCAUGGAUUUAAAUUGUACAUACCACUCAGGUAUGAUU